CACAAGAGGCAUCUCAGCCCGAUGCCACAAAUCCAAUUCCUGAUACCCCAAAAGGAAUGAGCCUUCAUGAUUCAAUACCUGUAGGCAUGCAAGAAUCAAAUGAUGAAGAUGAAGGACAAAAAAAGCCAACAAAGAAAAAACUAGGAUGGGGUCAAAAGAAGGUUUGGCAGAAAAUUCCAAAGGAGGACAGGGACAGAAUUCAAGAAUACUACUUAAGUACUCAACCUCGUGAUAGCUUUUGGGCAUGACUCCAUAAUGAGAAAGUGACAAACCAUGAUAUCAAAGAUAUUGUAUGGGACCUGGAACUGUCACAAAACGUUAUUGAGGCCUAUAUCCAAAUAGAGGAGGA